AUUGAACGCUGGCGGCAUGCUUUACACAUGCAAGUCGGACGGCAGCACAGAGAAGCUUGCUUCUUGGGUGGCGAGUGGCGAACGGGUGAGUAACAUAUCGGAACGUACCGAGCAGUGGGGGAUAACUAAUCGAAAGAUUAGCUAAUACCGCAUAUAUUCUGAGGAAGAAAGCAGGGGACCAUUUGGCCUUGCGCUGUUUGAGCGGCCGAUAUCUGAUUAGCUAGUUGGUGGGGUAAAGGCCUACCAAGGCGACGAUCAGUAGCGGGUCUGAGAGGAUGAUCCGCCACACUGGGACUGAGAUACGGCCCAGACUCCUACGGGAGGCAGCAGUGGGGAAUUUUGGACAAUGGGCGCAAGCCUGAUCCAGCCAUGCCGCGUGUCUGAAGAAGGCCUUCGGGUUGUAAAGGACUUUUGUCAGGGAAGAAAAGGGCGGGGUUAAUACCCCUGU
rnacentral:rRNA from 1 species